rnacentral:rRNA from 1 species
GAAUAUUGGACAAUGGGGGCAACCCUGAUCCAGCAAUGCCGCGUGAGUGAUGAAGGCCUUAGGGUUGUAAAGCUCUUUUACCCGGGAUGAUAAUGACAGUACCGGGAGAAUAAGCCCCGGCUAACUCCGUGCCAGCAGCCGCGGUAAUACGGAGGGGGCUAGCGUUGUUCGGAAUUACUGGGCGUAAAGCGCACGUAGGCGGCGAUUUAAGUCAGGGGUGAAAGCCCGGUGCUCAACACCGGAACUGCCUUUGAGACUGGAUUGCUUGAAUCACGGAGAGGUGGGUGGAAUUCCGAGUGUAGAGGUGAAAUUCGUAGAUAUUCGGAAGAACACCAGUGGCGAAGGCGGCCCACUGGACGUGUAUUGACGCUGAGGUGCGAAAGCGUGGGGAGCAAACAGG